rnacentral:miRNA from 1 species
GAUAUAUAUGUUAUUUACCGGCUGGGAGGUCCGGAUGAGAAAAACUGUGCCCGAGGUCCUGAAAACGGCCCGAGCCCGAAGGGCGAGGGACGUUUUCAAGACCGAGGGCACAGUUUUUCUCAUCCGGACCGACGCUGCCGGUAAAUAACGUGUUUAUU